UCUCUAAGGUGCCACAAGUACUCCUUUUCUUUUUGCGAAUACAGACUAACACGGCUGCUACUCUGAAACUCAUUAACAAUGUCAGCGGCAUAAGUGCAAUGGGCAGGGCAGGUCUGCUGCUGUUAAACCACCGUCCCCGGAGCCUGGUACCUGCAAGCGAGCAGCUGAAGGACACUAGCAGGGUAGGCUGGGGGCAGGCCACGUCACCUUCAUGGAGCAUGUUUCGGGCUGAACAAACCCAAGGCCCACUGCAGAAAUGUAACAAAGUGACAUGGAAAGGGGUAUUAUGGUGAAAGAAGGCAGCUACUUAACAUUACAUACAGGAGCCUAAGCUCCUGAUAAGAGUGCUGCAGAAACAUGAUGAUGUGAGCCCAGGGGGGUGGAAGGAAAAGGAGCCCUGCCUAAUUCAGUGCACAAGUAAAUGGUCGGUUUUGUCUGUGGCUGCUUCAGGGUGAUGCAAACGACUCUGGAGUGUUUGGGACAGUGCAAUUGCAAUGUUCACAAAAUUUGGAGGAGCCAGUGAUUCCCCCCUGCCCCUCAGAUCUUUUAACUUGACCAGAUCUGAAUUGUCAAGUGGACAGCAGCAGAUACUUCUAUAAGCCCACAACUAUACCCCCUGCCAAGUUUCAGGUUCCUACUGCAAACAAUGUAGUUUUCAGACCAGUUCAGAAAAAGGUUAAUUUAAAACAAAGAAAGAACUACCUGUUGUUCCUAGCCUCUGUCUUGAUGAUAAAUGGUUCAGGCUUCUUCAUUAAUUCUUUUAAAUCUCAACCUCAGGGAACAUACAUAGAAAAUUUCAGAUUGAAUGCUCAAGAUUUGCUAGAAUUAAAAGCAAGGGAAAAAAGAGACCAUAUUAGGCAACCAUCAGAGAGAUGCUGCUGCCACAAAGGUGUGCUCAGAUAUCCAUAAGGACAUCCCCUGUUUAAAAACAAAAAAGACACUAUUUCUUUGUUCAAGUUUAGUUGCCUUUAAUUCCUUUGGGGAAGUCAUUCCUCAGGAAGAAUUCCCAGCUGUGGGAGUCUGACAAGAGAUUCUGAUGUACUCUAGCACAAUGAAAGUGCUCUUU